rnacentral:rRNA from 1 species
UACGUAGGUGGCAAGCGUUGUCCGGAUUUACUGGGCGUAAAGCGCGCGCAGGCGGUUCGGUACGUCCGGCGUGAAAGCUCCCGGCUCAACUGGGAGAGGGCGUUGGAUACGGUCGAACUGGAGGGCGGUAGAGGUCGGUGGAAUUCCCGGUGUAGUGGUGAAAUGCGUAGAGAUCGGGAGGAACACCCGUGGCGAAGGCGGCCGACUGGGCCGACCCUGACGCUGAGGCGCGAAAGCGUGGGGAGCGAGCAGG